GGGGGGAGACCUCUACUUGAAGAAGAAACAAGCGGGGAAGAGCGGCUACAAGGCCACCAAGACCUCGGAGCGCGGGGAAAACUCAUCAAACUCCUCUGCUCCAGCCUGAGGGCCGCCGUGUGCCGCCGCCGCCGCCGGUACAGGAGCGUCGGUGGAGAGCGGGACAAGUUGGCGGGGUUUCUGCUGUUGGGGGGGG